AAAAAGGCAAACUCUAGGUUUUCGUGUCCAACUUUGACUGUCCGUCUUAUAUGAAAUUUUUUUAUAAUUCGUAUUUUCAUUGUUGUUAGAUGAUAAAACAUAAUUAAUAUUUUAUGCACGACUUGUCUUUUUAAUUUUUUUUUUAUAAUUUUUUUCAAAUAAGACGGACGGUCAAACGUUGGACACGGAAACCAGGGUUUGUAUUUUUU
rfam:Oryza glaberrima chromosome 11 Oglab11_0300_13, whole genome shotgun sequence.